rnacentral:tRNA from 1 species
GGCCCGGUAGCUCAGUGGUUAGAGCACCUGGUGCAGUUCCAGAAGGUCCUGGGUUCAAACCCCCGUCUGGCCA